rnacentral:rRNA from 1 species
UAAUACGUAGGUACCCGAGCGUUAUCCGGAAUUAUUGGGCGUAAAGGGCACGUAGGCGGACAAAUAAGUUUGAUGUCAAAUAAUGAUGGCUCAACCAUCAAGAGGCGUUGAAAACUGUUUAUCUAGAAUCUCGGAGAGGUAAGUGGAAUUCCAUGUGUAGCGGUGGAAUGCGUAGAUAUAUGGAGGAACACCAAUGGCGAAGGCAGCUUACUGGACGAAGAUUGACGCUGAGGUGCGAAAGCGUGGGUAGCAAACAGGAUUAGAUACCCCUGGUAG